rnacentral:rRNA from 1 species
GAUGAACGCUAGCGGCAGGCCUAACACAUGCAAGUCGAGGGGCAUCGGGAUUGAAGCUUGCUUCAAUUGCCGGCGACCGGCGCACGGGUGCGUAACGCGUAUGUAACCUACCUAUAACAGGGGCAUAACACUGAGAAAUUGGUACUAAUUCCCCAUAAUAUUCGGAGAGGCAUCUCUCCGGGUUGAAAACUCCGGUGGUUAUAGAUGGACAUGCGUUGUAUUAGCUAGUUGGUGAGGUAACGGCUCACCAAGGCAACGAUACAUAGGGGGACUGAGAGGU